rnacentral:rRNA from 1 species
GAGUAACGCGUGGGUAAUCUACCUCCGAAUUGGGGAUAACAUUGCGAAAGCGAUGCUAAUACCGAAUGACAUCUCAAUAACCUCGGUCUUUGAGAUCAAAGGUGGCCUCUCCAUGGAAGCUACUGUUUGGAGAUGAGCCCGCGUACCAUUAGCUUGUUGGUAGGGUAAUGGCCUACCAAGGCGACGAUGGUUAGCUGGUCUGAGAGGAUGAUCAGCCACACUGGAACUGACACACGGUCCAGACUCCUACGGGAGGCAGCAGUGAGGAAUUUUGCGCAAUGGGGGAAACCCUGACGCANCAACGCCGCGUGAGUGAUGAAGGCUCUCGGGUCGUAAAGCUCUGUCAAGUGAGAAGAACCUGCCCUUUGCUAAUAUCACUGGGCACUGACGGUAUCACUGAAGGAAGCACCGGCUAACUCCGUGCCAGCAGCCGCGGUAAUACGGAGGGUGCAAGCGUUAUUCGGAAUCACUGGGCGUAAAGAGCGCGUAGGCGGUUUCUAAAGUCAGAUGUGAAAGCCCGGGGCUCAACCCCGGAAGUGCAUUUGAAACUUAGGGACUUGAGUAUGGGAGAGGGAAGUGGAAUUCCUGGUGUAGCGGUGAAA